rnacentral:rRNA from 1 species
AUUGAACGCUGGCGGCGUGCUUAACACAUGCAAGUCGUGCGGUAACAGGCGUAGCAAUACGUGCUGACGAGCGGCGAACGGGUGCGUAAUACAUGGGAAUCUGCCCUUUAGUGGGGAAUAACCCGGCGAAAGCCGGGCUAAUGCCGCAUAAGAUCUCCGGAUGAAAGCGGGGGACCGUAAGGCCUCGCGCUGAUGGAUGAGCCCAUGUCGGAUUAGCUAGUUGGUGAGGUAACGGCUCACCAAGGCGACGAUCCGUAGCUGGUCUGAGAGGACGGCCAGCCACACUGGGACUGAGACACGGCCCAGACUCCUACGGGAGGCAGCAGUGGGGAAUAUUGGACAAUGGGGGAAACCCUGAUCCAGCGACGCCGCGUGUGUGAAGAAGG